rnacentral:rRNA from 1 species
UUCCCAUCUCGAACACAGAAGUUAAGCUUCUUAGCGCCGAAUGUAGUUGGGGGUUUCCCCCUGUGAGACUAGGACGUUGCCAUGC